AUGGGAAUGGGAUGAGGAGGGGAAGGGGAAGGCGAUUGGGAUGGGAUGGGGCUUGCACGCCUUGCUGAGCGCCCCUUUUAGCAGCCUGGAGAAAAGCCCCCGGCGCUGCUGGAAGCUGCUGCUGACAAACGAGGGCUCCUCGCAGCAGCCCGGCCCCGCAUUGAUGUCUGCGGCCCACGGGUCGCUUGGAUACGGCCUCACCGAGGCGGGGAGCCUUGCUCAGGCAUUAAUUGCUAAAUCACCCUAGCAGGGGAUUUGCCAUCCGCUGCCUGGAGCCAGCAGCUUGUGCAUCGCACACGGGGCGAGCCCCAUCCUCCUCCUCCUCCUCUUCCUUCUCCUCCUCCUCCUCCUCCUCCUCCUCCUCCUCCUCCUCCCCUGGCUCUGCUCGAUGCCCGCCCUGCCCGUGCCAGGGUCGUGCCUCACUCUUGGCCGCCGGCCCCAGCAGCAAAUUAAAGUCCCUGCAUGAGCGAGCCUCGAGCCACGGCGCCAAAUGGGGCUGGAGGGGGGCUUGGCUGAGCCCCCGCUCCCAUCCCCGUCACUGGGGCUGGGGCAGAGGCGCUGCUGGGGGGCAGCCCCCAGACCUGGAGCACCCCGGUGCCAAUGAUGCGCUGCAGAAGGGGUGCUCAAGGGGGGUCUGCCCAUCUCCAAACCCCUUGGUCGCCCCAAUUUCGUUAUGUGAAGCUCCCAGGGCUGCUGGUUCCCCCCUGCCCAAGCUGUCUCAGGGCCAGGGCUGCAGCCCCCGCCCAAAAAAACUGAUCAUCGAGGCUGGAGCGGGCUGGGCUGUGCCCAAAUCCACCCCUGGAGGUUUGCCAGGUUGGGGGGAUUCCUGCCAAGGCCUGGUGCCAGCACCGGCCCCUCUGCCACCUCCACCCACAGGUCCUCCUGUCCCCCACCCCUUUGGCCUCGCUGUCACCCCCCCCCCCUCUGUCCCACCUCCUCCGGCCUCUCCAUCCUUUCCUUCCUUCCAUCCCCUCCGUCUCCUCCAUCUCCUUCCUCCCCUUCCUCCUCUCCAUCUCCACCAUCCUCACCAUCAUUUCCAUCCCCUCCA
rnacentral:lncRNA from 1 species